rnacentral:misc_RNA from 1 species
AGACUCACCACCCACACCCACACCCACACACACAGAAACGCACAAUCGUUAAGGAAUACGGCCAGCACGGCAGCCAUCGUGGACCCCUCUCGCUUUUCUUAGCCCACACACAUACAGCAAUCCUACCCUAACGACGCACACCCAUCCUUCCGGUUCCAAAUAGGGCUCCGUCUCAUCUCUCAGGUUGCGGGACUCCCCCUCGUACCCCCCCUCCUUCCCUCCCUCCGUUGCGCUCGUCUCUAUCAGUGUGUGUGUGCUGCUGCGGUCGCGACAUCACGCUGGAAUGAAUGCUACACUUUCUGACUGGUGUGUACAACAGCCUCUUUAGCACCCCCGAGUACAAUGUCCUGAUUGUCGGCCGCGAGUGCGCAGGCAAGUCGACGCUGCUGGAGCAACUCAAGUUCCUCUACACCCCAGCCGUACAGCAGCAGCAGCAGGCGUCUUUGUUGGCGGACCGCUCCAGCAGCAGCGCAGGUGAGAAGGCGAUUACCUUGACAACAAACAUAGUGACUGAAGCCCCCACGACACCACCACCGCAACAAAGGCCGCGUAGACAUCCACUGCCGCCCGGCACUCCACUUCCUGCCACAGCAACGCAACUGGCACAGAAGCGCAUCCGUCCGACAGUGGGCCUCAACUACGCUGUGGUGCAGCACCGCUUCAGCCCCCCCGUUUCGGCUGUCACGCUGGUGAAAAAGUCGCAGUUGCCAUUGCAGGCCGUCGCCUCCCUGCCGUCGCUACCGCAGGAUCUGCUGUACGAGCAACGCGCACGCCAACAGGAGGUCAUGGCCAACGCGCCGAGUGAUGUCGUCACACGUGUGGUGCUGCGAGACCUCGGUGGCCAAGCCGCGUUGCGCGACCUAUGGGAGAAGUACUACCCGCGAAGUCAAGGAAUCGUGUACGUUAUCGACAGUACACUGCCUUUUCGCAUUUCGUCUGCGUCGCCGUCAUCGCCGCCAUCCGCCACAGAAAAGCCGCCACGCGAUCACUUUACCAAGCAAGAGCUGAAGGAAGUUUACAAGCAGGACCGCGAUCUGCUCGCGCGACUCCUCCAGCACCCCCUGCUGCACGGCGUGCCGGUUCUGAUCCUCAGCAACAAGACGGACGAGGUUACCCACAUACCCCUCAUGACCUUGCAAGAGGCGCUGCAGUUGGCGGAGCUGGCAGCCGAUCCGACCUUUUACAUGCUGCAGAACAGCAGCGACGGCCACAAAGCAGGCGAGGAGCUGGAGAGUCAACAGAGGCUGCAUGACAACGGCAAUGGUGGCAGCGGUCCUUCGCAACUUCCUGGUGCCGCUGCAUCCCCGAUCGGUGCGCCACUCUCACGUCUCUGCACCCGCUCAGAGGAGGUGCAGCUGCGUGUGGGAGGGAGCGGCUUCGGCGAAAUUUCCAUGCGAGUGGUGGAGGUGAGUGCGCUCGACGGAGUGGGGGUGGCGGGGGCCAUGGACUGGUUGGUGGCGCAGUUGCUGCACCAUGCACGAGACGUGGAUAGCAGUGCCUGACUGGCUCAGUCACGCUCGUCGCGAAGAGAAGGUGCACUGUAAGUGACGGCGUCGGGGAGAUGAAUGAAGGCCAGCGGCAGGUGCUGUCGCGGCUCUAGUGGCGCGUGUGUGGAUGCGUGGCAGUGUCCUCCCUCUCUACUUCCCGCGCCCCUUCUCUCCGCUGCAGAUGCAUGCAGGCCCCGCUUUUCCGAACUCUCUUACUGGUGCCUUCUUCCUUCUCAUUGUGUUACCGCGUCGCCCCCUCGUUUUGAUGGGCACUCGAAAGGGGACAUACACACCAUCAACAACAUUGACAACGGGGGUGGGGAAGGGAGGCGAAUGCACGCAUCUGCUCGCACGUGGGCUUGUGCGUGCCUGUGCCGCUCCUGCGUGCCACCAAAGCCGAAUCUUUGGUGGUAGUUGAAGGGCGUUAGGGAGGGAAGGGCAGGGGAGAAGGUGUGUGUGUGUGCGUAUGUGUGCACAGCAUCAACUAGGUCCUCUUUUCUUCUUGGUUGCUGUUGUUGAUAUUGUUUCAUGUGUCACUUCCCCGCCCCUCUCCCUCCCUCCUUCUCCCACUCCCUUGGGCUGCCGAGGUCAUGUUUAUUUUAUAUGUGUUUUCGAAUCCCUGCCGACGUCCCGAACUCUCGCCAGGUGCCCAUGGCUGACAGCAACGGGGAGGAGGCAUCUCUCUCCCUCUCUUCAUCGG